GUGGGGAAUAUUGGACAAUGGGCGAAAGCCUGAUCCAGCCAUGCCGCGUGUGUGAAGAAGGUCUUCGGAUUGUAAAGCACUUUAAGUUGGGAGGAAGGGCAGUAAGUUAAUACCUUGCUGUUUUGACGUUACCGACAGAAUAAGCACCGGCUAACUUCGUGCCAGCAGCCGCGGUAAUACGAAGGGUGCAAGCGUUAAUCGGAAUUACUGGGCGUAAAGCGCGCGUAGGUGGUUUUGUAAGUUGGAGGUGAAAUCCCCGGGCUCAACCUGGGAACUGCCUCCAAAACUACUGAGCUAGAGUACGGUAGAGGGUAGUGGAAUUUCCUGUGUAGCGGUGAAAUGCGUAGAUAUAGGAAGGAACACCAGUGGCGAAGGCGACUACCUGGACUGAUACUGACACUGAGGUGCGAAAGCGUGGGGAGCAAACAGGAUUAGAAACCCCGGUAGUCC
rnacentral:rRNA from 1 species